UACGUAGGGGGCAAGCGUUGUCCGGAAUCAUUGGGCGUAAAGCGCGUGUAGGCGGCCAGAAAAGUCCGCUGUGAAAACUCGAGGCUCAACUUCGAGCUGUCGGUGGAAACUUUCUGGCUAGAGUCCGGAAGAGGAGAAUGGAAUUCCUGGUGUAGCGGUGAAAUGCGCAGAUAUCAGGAGGAACACCAGUAGCGAAGGCGGCUCGCUGGGCCAUUCCUGACGCUGAGACGCGAAAGCUAGGGGAGCGAACAGG
rnacentral:rRNA from 1 species